AGUCUAAAUUUGAUUGACCUAAUUUUAGUUUGACUUAUAUAUCUUACCUAUACAUUAAGAGAAAGUCCGGAGCUCUCCCAACGUGCCACAUGUCGAGCUCUGAACUCCUUAUGGGCAUUUUUUUUCAUAGCAUCUUUUCUCCUUUUCUUCUUUGAUUCCUUUUCGAGCCAUCUAGAAGCUUCCUGAGCCCUCCUGAACCCUCACAGAUGCCCACAUUCUCCCCACUCUCCUCGUCGCUACCUCCCAUCGAUCUCUAUCAUCAUCUUCCUCUCCAUCAUCAUUGGCAUCCAUCUUCCCCUUCCAAUCUCCCUCACGAUGUUGACCUCUUCCCCACUCUCCUCACUGCCACCUCCUGCCACUCUUUGCCAUCGCAUUCCUCCCGAUCCUCAUCGGCAUCAGGCUUCCCCCUCUAAUCUCCAAUACGUGCUUUCUUUCCCACAGAUCUCCAUUUUUUUUUAUUUUUUUUCUUUGAACCCUUCCAGAGCCCUUGCGAAUGCCCACCUCCUACCUGCUCUCCUCGCUGCCACCUAUCGUCGAUCUUCACCGUCACCUAUCUCCCCAUUGUCACUGACAUUAGCCCUCCC
rnacentral:lncRNA from 1 species